UCCCCAAUGGCUCAGCAUGUAAAGAAUCUGCCUGCAAGGCAGAAGACCUGGGUUCAAUCCCUGGGUUGGGAA
rnacentral:tRNA from 1 species